UACAGGGGGGGGCAAGCGUUGUUCGGAAUUACUGGGCGUAAAGGGUCUGUAGGUGGCCAACUAAGUCAGACGUGAAAUCCCUCAGCUUAACUGGGGAACUGCGUCUGAUACUGGAUGGCUUGAGUGUGGGAGAGGAAUUGCGGAAUUCCAGGUGUAGCGGUGAAAUGCGUAGAUAUCUGGAGGAACACCGGUGGCGAAGGCGGCAUUCUGGACCAUAACUGACACUGAGAGACGAAAGCCGAGGGGAGCAAACGGG
rnacentral:rRNA from 1 species